rnacentral:tRNA from 1 species
GCGGGAGUAGCUCAGUUGGUAGAGCGUCAGCCUUCCAAGCUGAUCGUCGCGGGUUCAAGUCCCGUCUCCCGCUCCA